UACGUAGGGUGCAAGCGUUGUCCGGAAUUAUUGGGCGUAAAGAGCUCGUAGGCGGUUUGUCGCGUCUGCUGUGAAAACUGGAGGCUUAACCUCCAGACGUCGGUGGAAACCGUAUGACUAGAGUCCGGAAGAGGAGAGUGGAAUUCCUGGUGUAGCGGUGAAAUGCGCAGAUAUCAGGAAGAACACCCGUGGCGAAGGCGGCUCUCUGGGACGGUACUGACGCUGAGACGCGAAAGCGUGGGGAGCGAACAGG
rnacentral:rRNA from 1 species